GAUGAACGCUGGCGGCGUGCCUAAUACAUGCAAGUCGAGCGGACAGACGCGGAGCUUGUUUCUUUGUUGUUAGGCGCAGGCGGGAGAGUCACACGUGUAUCACCUACCUAUAAGACUGGGAUAAUUUCGGGACACCGGCUCUUAUACCGGAUAAUCUUUUGCUCCGCAUGGUUAAUAGGUGAAAUACGGUCUUGGUGUAUCUUAUAGCUGGAUCCGCGCUGCAUUAGGUAGUUGUUACGGUAACGGGUUACCAAGGCAACGAUGCAUAGCCGACGGGAGGGGGUGAUAGGCCACACGAGAGCUGGAACACGGUCCAGAGGCCUGCGGGAGGCAGCAGUAGGGAAUCGGAGGCAAUGGGCGGAAACCUGACAGAGCAACGCGGAGUGAGAGAUGAAAGUCUUCGGAUCGUAAAACUCUGCUAUGAGGUAAGAACAGAUGUGGAAGUAACUGAGCACAGCGUGACGGUACCUAAUCAGAAAGCCCCGGCUAACUACGUG
rnacentral:rRNA from 1 species